AUGUGUGGGGUGACUUUAUGCUGUUAUUAAAUAAAUAAUAAUAUAUAUUAAAAUGUAAUUUCGUUGUAGCUGAAGCAAAAACGCAUAUAUUUCUGUACCAACCAAUGGAUUGGUAACCAGCAUGCCGUCAUAUAUUCUCUUUGUUGAAAUGUAUUCUCUUGUUUUGGCUAUCUUUUUUUUUACAAGAAUAAUAAUUUGAGUAGGUGACAUUUGGAAUUAGUUUCAAUCAGAAAAAAAAAGAAACCAAUCAGUCUUUUUUUAACACCAGUCAGCCCACAACCGAAAUUUUAUACGAAUCUUAAAAACGACUUAAAUGUGAUAGCUAAUACUAAUAGGUUGAUUUUUAAAAAAAAUACUAAUAGGUUUAUUAAUUAGGAAGUCGUACCUAGUUUAAAAGGCUUUCGUAUUAAAAUGAAAAUAUUACAAUACAUGAAAUAUAAAAGAAGUUUACAUAUAUAGUCUAUCAAAUUUAUAUACAAUUCAAGAACAUUAUUGGCAUAUAUACGCGUCUACGGUAGUUUAUUUCGAUCGGAUGUCCAAUGGUCUCUUAAACAAAAAAGAAAACAAUAGAACUUCAAAGUCACGCCCCUAUAUGUUUAGUUUGGUUUAUGUAAAUAGUUGUAACAAUAAUGAUAAAAUUUAUUAUAUGCAGGUGAGGCAGAGACAGAGUCAUAUCUAUCCUCAACGACGACUAUACAACCGUCGACGUCUCGUCAACUUCGUGGUCUAGACAGGAAUUAAGCGGAAAUUAGGCAGUCAAUGCGAAAAUUAGCGGUCUUACGCGGAUCAACACCUAACUACACCGAUUUGGGCAUAUUCGCCGCGGUCAACCUCCGAACAAUACCUAGACGGCCGCGUUUUUGAACAGGAGAUCCAACAAUACCUAGACGGCCGCGUUUUUGAACAGGAGAUCCGACUAAUACUCACAUCUACAAAUUAUAUGGUUUAGUUCGUUAUUGGCAGUGGUACUCUGAACAUAAACACAAGCAUGGGUUUCUAUGAGUUUAUGGUCUAAUCUCUAAUGUUUUACGGUUGUAAUAUAUUUUAAAGUAGAUUCUAGAUAAAUUAUUCUCGUGUCUUUAAUUGACCUAUGUAUUUUUUGCUGAAAAUUCAAUAAGAAAUUAGUCGCUAUAUUGCAAAACAGUAUAGUGAUUCUCAA